UAUGGUGGUUCUUCCGAGGGUGCUCACCUCUUCCCUUUCCGAACAGAGUAGUUAAGACCCUCCUGGCCAAUGGUACUGCACAAACAUGUGGGAGAGUAGGUAGCUGCCGUAU
rnacentral:rRNA from 1 species